AUACGUAGGGUGCAAGCGUUAAUCGGAAUUACUGGGCGUAAAGCGUGCGCAGGCGGUUUUGUAAGACAGUGGUGAAAUCCCCGGGCUCAACCUGGGAACUGCCAUUGUGACUGCAAGGCUGGAGUGCGGCAGAGGGGGAUGGAAUUCCGCGUGUAGCAGUGAAAUGCGUAGGUAUGCGGAGGAACACCGAUGGCGAAGGCAAUCCCCUGGGCCUGCACUGACGCUCAUGCACGAAAGCGUGGGGAGCAAACAGGAUUAGAUACCCUGGUAGUCCACGCCCUAAACGAUGUCAACUGGUUGUUGGGGAUUUAUUUUCUCAGUAACGAAGCUAACGCGUGAAGUUGACCGCCUGGGGAGUACGGCCGCAAGGUUAAAACUCAAAUGAAUUGACGGGG
rnacentral:rRNA from 1 species